rnacentral:rRNA from 1 species
GAUGAACGCUAGCUACAGGCUUAACACAUGCAAGUCGAGGGAGCGGCGCACGGGUGAGUAACACGUAUCCCACCUGCCCUUUACUGGGGGAUAGCCUGUCGAAAGAUAGAUUAAUACCCGAUAUAAAGGAUGGGGAUGCGUUCCAUUAGGUUGUUGGUGAGGUAACGGCUCACCAAGCCUUCGAUGGAUAGGGGUUCUGAGAGGAAGGACCCCGAGAUUGGAACUGUGACACGGUCCAAACGCCAAGGAGACGCAGCAGAGUGUAAGACUGGUCAGUAGGCGCUAAGCUGAACCAGCCGAGUAGCGUGAAGGAUGAAUGGGUAUGGGUCGUAAUCUACUGGUAUAGAAGAAUCGGUAUUAGAUGAAAAAGGAUCGGCUAACUCCGUGCCAGCAGCCGCGGUAAUUC